AACGCAAAUUUCACGGCCAUUCACAACAUAUGAUAGCAUCUCACCGAGGUUGAACCCUUCCGAGGCGUUCUGACCCAUGACCCAUGUAGAUAUUUGUUGUCACUUAUUUAUUUAAGUUGUCUGUUUGGACUGGAGACUAAUCUUUACUGAUCUUGGGUGCAACGGUCCAUCUGUUGUCUGUCUUUUGUACAGAUCUAAGGGAUAGCCUUCGUGCUCCCGUAUGGGGAUUGUUGCAAGGAUCAUUAAUACAUCU
rnacentral:snoRNA from 1 species